rnacentral:rRNA from 1 species
UACGAGCUAAGCUUAAAACCCAAAGGACUUGACGGUACCCCAUAUCCCCCUAGAGGAGCCUGUCCUAUAAUCGAUAACCCCCGUUUAACCUCACCAUUUCUAGCAACUCAGCCUGUAUACCUCCGUCGUCAGCUUACCACGUGAGCGCUAGUGAGCUCAAUGUUUUUCCAACUAAACGUCAGGUCAAGGUGCAACACAUGAAAUGGGAAGAGAUGGGCUACACUUUCUAGCAUAGACCAUACGAAAGACUAUCUAUGAAAUCUAGUCAGA